GACAGAGGGUGCAAACGUUGUUCGGAAUUACUGGGCGUAAAGCGUGUGUAGGCGGCUUUGCAAGUCGGAUGUGAAAGCCCCGGGCUCAACUCGGGAAGUGCACUCGAUACUGCAGAGCUUGAGUGUCGGAGAGGUUGGUGGAAUUCUCGGUGUAGAGGUGAAAUUCGUAGAUAUCGAGAGGAACAUCGGCGGCGAAGGCGGCCAACUGGACGACUACUGACGCUGAGACACGAAAGCGUGGGGAGCAAACAGG
rnacentral:rRNA from 1 species